rnacentral:rRNA from 1 species
UACGAAGGGGGCUAGCGUUGUUCGGAAUCGCUGGGCGUAAAGCGCACGCAGGCGGAUUGAUAAGUCGGGGGUGAAAUCCCGGGGCUCAACCUCGGAAUUGCCUUCGAUACUGUCUGUCUUGAGUCCGGGAGAGGUGAGUGGAAUUCCUAGUGUAGAGGUGAAAUUCGUAGAUAUUAGGAAGAACACCAGUGGCGAAGGCGGCUCACUGGCCCGGUACUGACGCUCAUGUGCGAAAGCGUGGGGAGCAAACAGG